CAGCCGCCGCGGUAAAACGGAGGGGGCUAGCGUUGUUCGGAAUUACUGGGCGUAAAGCGCACGUAGGCGGCUGUGUAAGUCAGAGGUGAAAGCCCGGGGCUCAACCCCGGAAUAGCCUUUGAGACUGCAUAGCUUGAACACGGGAGAGGUGAGUGGAAUUCCGAGUGCAGAGGUGUAAUUCGUAGAUAUUCGGAAGAACACCAGUGGCGAAGGCGGCUCACUGGACCGUUGUUGACGCUGAGGUGCGAAAGCGUGGGGAGCAAACAGGAUUAGAUACCCCCGUAGUCCCUGUCUCUUAUAC
rnacentral:rRNA from 1 species